rnacentral:rRNA from 1 species
UACGGGGGGGCAAGCGUUGUUCGGAAUUACUGGGCGUAAAGGGCUCGUAGGCGGCCAACUAAGUCAGACGUGAAAUCCCUCGGCUUAACCGGGGAACUGCGUCUGAUACUGGAUGGCUUGAGUUUGGGAGAGGGAUGCGGAAUUCCUGGUGUAGCGGUGAAAUGCGCAGAUAUCAGGAGGAACACCGAUGGCGAAGGCAGCCCCCUGGGCUGAGAUUGACGCUCAGGCACGAAAGCGUGGGGAGCAAACAGG